GUAGACGCUACGACUUAAAAUCCGUCGACUUUCGAGAUCGUGAGGGUUCAAAUCCCUCUAUCCCCA
rnacentral:tRNA from 1 species